rnacentral:rRNA from 1 species
GUUAAAAAGCUCGUAGUUGGAUUUCGGAGUAGGCCAGUUGGUCCGCCGCAAGGUGUGUUACUGACUGGUUUGCUCUUCUUCGCAAAGACUGCGUGUGCUCUUCAGUGAGUGUGCGUAGGAUUUACGACGUUUACUUUGAAAAAAUUAGAGUGUUCAAAGCAGGCUAUUGCUUGAAUACAUGAGCAUGGAAUAAUGGAAUAGGACUUUGGUCCCAUUUUGUUGGUUUCUAGGGCCGAAGUAAUGAUUAAGAGGGACAAUUGGGGGCAUCCGUAUUUCGUUGUCAGAGGUGAAAUUCUUGGAUUUACGAAAGACGAACAACUGCGAAAGCACUUGCCAAGAGUGUUUUCAUUAAUCAAGAACGAAAGUUAGAGGAUCGAAGACGAUCAGAUACCGUCCUAGUUCUAACCAUAAACGAUGUCGACUAGGGAUCAGCGGGCGUUAUCGUACGACCCCGUUGGCACCUUACGGGAAACCAAAGUUUCUGGAUUCCGGGGGAAGUAUGGUUGCAAAGCUGAAACUUAAAGGAAUUGACGGAAGGGCACCACCAGGAGUGGAGCCUGUGGCUCAAUUUGACUCAACACGGGAAAACUUACCAGGUCCAGACAUAGUAAGGAUUGACAGGUUGAGAGCCCUUUCUUGAUUCUAUGGGUGGUGGUGCAUGGCCGUUCUU